rnacentral:misc_RNA from 1 species
GAUGAAGAACGCAGCGAAAUGCGAUAAGUAAUGUGAAUUGCAGAAUUCAGUGAAUCAUCGAAUCUUUGAACGCACAUUGCGCCCGCCAGUAUUCUGGCGGGCAUGCCUGUUCGAGCGUCAUUACAACUCUCAGGCCCCCGGGCCUGGCGUUGGGGAUCGGCGGAGCCCCCCGUGGGCACACGCCGUCCCCCAAAUACAGUGGCGGUCCCGCCGCAGCUUCCAUCGCGUAGUAGCUAACACCUCGCGACUGGAGAGCGGCGCGGCCACGCCGUAAAACACCCAACUCUUCUGAAGUUGACCUCGAAUCAGGUAGGAAUACCCGCUGAACUUAAGCAUAUCAAUAAGCGGAGGA